rnacentral:tRNA from 1 species
GCUGCGGUGGCCUAGCUGGUUAGGGCGCCAGACUCAUAGGGUUUAUUGAACUCUUCACACUGUUCAGGCUUUGAGAGAUCUGGAGAUCGGGGGAUCGUAACCCUCUCGCAGCA